GUGCUGUGAGCUCGAUGAGUAGGGCGGGACACGUGGUAUCCUGUCUGAAUAUGGGGGGACCAUCCUCCAAGGCUAAAUACUCCUGACUGACCGAUAGUGAACCAGUACCGUGAGGGAAAGGCGAAAAGAACCCCGGCGAGGGGAGUGAAAAAGAACCUGAAACCGUGUACGUACAAGCAGUGGGAGCCCCACCACUAAGCCAGUGGUGAACUCCACAUACGCAUCCUUUGCUGAGGAUACGGUUAACGGAGCGAAAGCGACGUUCAACCUCAAAAGAAGCAGAGGGGGCUUAGUGGUGGGGUGACUGCGUACCUUUUGUAUAAUGGGUCAGCGACUUAUAUUCUGUAGCAAGGUUAACCGUAUAGGGGAGCCGCAGGGAAACCGAGUCUUAACCGGGCGUUAAGUUGCAGGGUAUAGACCCGAAACCCGGUGAUCUAGCCAUGGGCAGGUUGAAGGUUGGGUAACACUAACUGGAGGACCGAACCGACUAAUGUUGAAAAAUUAGCGGAUGACCUGUGGCUGGGGGUGAAAGGCCAAUCAAACCGGGAGAUAGCUGGUUCUCCCCGAAAGCUAUUUAGGUAGCGCCUCGUGAACUCAUCUCCGGGGGUAGAGCACUGUUUCGGCUAGGGGGCCAUCCCGGCUUACCAACCCGAUGCAAACUGCGAAUACCGGAGAAUGUUAUCACGGGAGACACACGGCGGGUGCUAACGUCCGUCGUGAAGAGGGAAACAACCCAGACCGCCAGCUAAGGUCCCAAAGUCAUGGUUAAGUGGGAAACGAUGUGGGAAGGCCCAGACAGCCAGGAUGUUGGCUUAGAAGCAGCCAUCAUUUAAAGAAAGCGUAAUAGCUCACUGGUCGAGUCGGCCUGCGCGGAAGAUGUAACGGGGCUAAACCAUGCACCGAAGCUGCGGCAGCGACACUAUGUGUUGUUGGGUAGGGGAGCGUUCUGUAAGCCUGUGAAGGUGGCCUGUGAGGGUUGCUGGAGGUAUCAGAAGUGCGAAUGCUGACAUAAGUAACGAUAAAGCGGGUGAAAAGCCCGCUCGCCGGAAGACCAAGGGUUCCUGUCCAACGUUAAUCGGGGCAGGGUGAGUCGACCCCUAAGGCGAGGCCGAAAGGCGUAGUCGAUGGGAAACGGGUUAAUAUUCCCGUACUUGGUGUUACUGCGAAGGGGGGACGGAGAAGGCUAUGUUGGCCGGGCGACGGUUGUCCCGGUUUAAGCGUGUAGGCUGGUUUUCCAGGCAAAUCCGGAAAAUCAAGGCUGAGGCGUGAUGACGAGGCACUACGGUGCUGAAGCAACAAAUGCCCUGCUUCCAGGAAAAGCCUCUAAGCAUCAGGUAACAUCAAAUCGUACCCCAAACCGACACAGGUGGUCAGGUAGAGAAUACCAAGGCGCUUGAGAGAACUCGGGUGAAGGAACUAGGCAAAAUGGUGCCGUAACUUCGGGAGAAGGCACGCUGACAUGUAGGUGAAGUGAUUUACUCAUGGAGCUGAAGUCAGUCGAAGAUACCAGCUGGCUGCAACUGUUUAUUAAAAACACAGCACUGUGCAAACACGAAAGUGGACGUAUACGGUGUGACGCCUGCCCGGUGCCGGAAGGUUAAUUGAUGGGGUCAGCGCAAGCGAAGCUCCUGAUCGAAGCCCCGGUAAACGGCGGCCGUAACUAUAACGGUCCUAAGGUAGCGAAAUUCCUUGUCGGGUAAGUUCCGACCUGCACGAAUGGCGUAAUGAUGGCCAGGCUGUCUCCACCCGAGACUCAGUGAAAUUGAACUCGCUGUGAAGAUGCAGUGUACCCGCGGCAAGACGGAAAGACCCCGUGAACCUUUACUAUAGCUUGACACUGAACAUUGAGCCUUGAUGUGUAGGAUAGGUGGGAGGCUUUGAAGUGUGGACGCCAGUCUGCAUGGAGCCGACCUUGAAAUACCACCCUUUAAUGUUUGAUGUUCUAACGUGGACCCGUAAUCCGGGUUGCGGACAGUGUCUGGUGGGUAGUUUGACUGGGGCGGUCUCCUCCUAAAGAGUAACGGAGGAGCACGAAGGUUGGCUAAUCCUGGUCGGACAUCAGGAGGUUAGUGCAAUGGCAUAAGCCAGCUUGACUGCGAGCGUGACGGCGCGAGCAGGUGCGAAAGCAGGUCAUAGUGAUCCGGUGGUUCUGAAUGGAAGGGCCAUCGCUCAACGGAUAAAAGGUACUCCGGGGAUAACAGGCUGAUACCGCCCAAGAGUUCAUAUCGACGGCGGUGUUUGGCACCUCGAUGUCGGCUCAUCACAUCCUGGGGCUGAAGUAGGUCCCAAGGGUAUGGCUGUUCGCCAUUUAAAGUGGUACGCGAGCUGGGUUUAGAACGUCGUGAGACAGUUCGGUCCCUAUCUGCCGUGGGCGCUGGAGAACUGAGGGGGGCUGCUCCUAGUACGAGAGGACCGGAGUGGACGCAUCACUGGUGUUCGGGUUGUCAUGCCAAUGGCACUGCCCGGUAGCUAAAUGCGGAAGAGAUAAGUGCUGAAAGCAUCUAAGCACGAAACUUGCCCCGAGAUGAGUUCUCCCUGAGACUUAGAGUCUCCUGAAGGAACGUUGAAGACGACGACGUUGAUAGGCC
rnacentral:rRNA from 1 species